CUUAUUGUAAAAUAGUUGAAUUAUUGGUCAUGCCUACAUAUUUUGCUUACAUGUUGGCAAGACAAGUAGGAGCAUGCCAAGGAGAGCUGGAAUGGUCAGGUUGCAGUGGGCUUGGGUUCUAGACCUUAUCUCUGAAAUCUUCCACAUAUGCACAUUCUUUGCUGCUGCAGAUAUUUGCACAAGACUUAUUUUUUCAUUUUCUUCUUUGAAUCUGGAGAUGUUUCAGUUUUAGUUCCUACAGGAUUUUGAGCACUUGCAGUCCUUGAAUGGAGAUUGUCCUUUCAGAGACGAAUGAACCCUCAGAAUUAGUACUGAGUUCCCUAAACAUCUACCAUAAGCACAAACAACCCAUGUGUCUGUUUCAAGCAGUGAAGAACUGGCAUCCAGAAACAGAGGAACAGUCAAGCCACAAAAUAGAGUUCCCAUCCUUCCAUGGUCAUGAAGGCACAGGAGCAACCAGAACCUGGAUAGAAGAGCCACCUAAAAAUAACUUGGGAGAAUUCUGCAAAGGAGGCAUCCCACUAGAUUUUCCAAUCUACAGGCCUGGAGUGAGCAGGAGUAAUUACAGAGCCCAGAUCUUCACCACUGCAGAGAGAAGGAGAGAGGAGAGUUGGGGAGAGUGCUCGGUAUGCACUGGAAGUAUAAAGAAACUAAAAUUCACCUGAGAAUUUUUGUAAGCCCUACAUUCAUGAGAAACUUGCAGCUGCAUCAGAGCCAUCAGGAUUGGAUAGGACUUCCAUUUCUACUCCAAGCUGAAGAGGAGUGAAGCACUUUGGAAUGGCCAUCUCCAGGACUUCAAGGAAAUUUGGAAACUUCCUGCACAGAUCUUGGAGCAAGAAGUGAGUAUGAGGAAAAUUCAAACCAGGGCAUUUCAGGGAAGGUGGAACUACYGAGGGUAUCAUUAGAAAGCUCCCAAAUGGAUGUUUUCCAAUACUGUAAUUGCUGGAAAGACUGGGAAAAAAGAUAUGGGACAGAACAGCA